GACAGCAGCCGCCGCGGUAAUACGUAGGGGGCAAGCGUUGUCCGGAAUUAUUGGGCGUAAAGCGCGCGCAGGCGGUCAUGUAAGUCUGGUGUUUAAUCCCGGGGCUCAACCCCGGAUCGCACUGGAAACUGGGUGACUUGAGUGCAGAAGAGGAGAGUGGAAUUCCACGUGUAGCGGUGAAAUGCGUAGAGAUGUGGAGGAACACCAGUGGCGAAGGCGACUCUCUGGGCUGUAACUGACGCUGAGGCGCGAAAGCGUGGGGAGCAAACAGGAUUAGAUACCCCAGUAGUCCCUGUCUCUUAUACA
rnacentral:rRNA from 1 species